rnacentral:rRNA from 1 species
UACGGAGGGUGCAAGCGUUACUCGGAAUCACUGGGCGUAAAGGACGCGUAGGCGGGUUGGUAAGUCUGAUGUGAAAUCCUAUGGCUCAACCAUAGAACUGCAUUGGAAACUACCGACCUAGAGUAUGGGAGGGGGAGAUGGAAUUAGUGGUGUAGGGGUAAAAUCCGUAGAUAUCACUAGGAAUACCGAAAGCGAAGGCGAUCUCCUGGAACAUUACUGACGCUAAGGCGUGAAAGCGUGGGGAGCAAACAGGAUUAGAUACCCUGGUAGUCCACGCCCUAAACGAUGUUCACUAGUCGUCGGGAUGCUAGUCAUCCCGGUGAUGCACUUAACAGAUUAAGUGAACCGCCUGGGGAGUACGGUCGCAAGAUUAAAACUCAAAGGAAUAGACGGGGACCCGCACAAGUGGUGGAGCAUGUGGUUUAAUUCGAAGAUACGCGAAGAACCUUACCUAGCCUUGACAUUGAUAGAACGGACCAGAGAUGGACCGGUGCCCUUCGGGGAGCUUGAAAACAGGUGCUGCACGGCUGUCGUCAGCUCGUGUCGUGAGAUGUUGGGUUAAGUCCCGCAACGAGCGCAACCCUCGUCUUUAGUUGCCAGCAGGUUAAGCUGGGCACUCUAAAGAGACUGCCUUCGUAAGGAGGAGGAAGGUGAGGACGACGUCAAGUCAUCAUGGCCCUUAUGGCUAGGGCUACACACGUGCUACAAUGGGGCGUACAGAGAGUUGCGAUACCGCGAGGUGGAGCCAAUCUCACAAAGCGUCUCUCAGUUCGGAUUGUAGUCUGCAACUCGACUACAUGAAGCUGGAAUCACUAGUAAUCGUAGAUCAGCAAUGCU